GUCGACUAGAGUUUGAUCCUGGCUCAGAGCGAACGCUGGCGGCGUGCUUAACACAUGCAAGUCGUGCGGGAAAGGGACUUUCGGGUCCUGAGUAGAGCGGCGCACGGGUGCGUAAGACGCGGGUGACCUAUCCGCGAGGCGGGGAUAACCCUUCGAAAGAGGGGCUAAUACCGGAUGGGCCCCCAAGCAGAGAUGCGGGGGGGCAAAGGGUGCUCCUUGAUAGGGGCAUCCCCUCACGGCGGGGCCCGCGGCCUAUCAGCUAGUUGGUAAGGUAAUGGCUUACCAAGGCGAAGACGGGUAGCUGGUCUGAGAGGAUGGCCAGCCACACGGGGACUGAGACACGGCCCCGACUCCUACGGGAGGCAGCAGUGGGGAAUAUUGGGCAAUGGGCGCAAGCCUGACCCAGCGACGCCGCGUGGGUGAUGAAGGCCUUCGGGUCGUAAAGCCCUGUCGGGUGGAAAGAAUGAGGACUGGGCCAAUAGCCCGGUUCUGUGACGGUACCACCGAAGGAAGCACCGGCCAAUUCCGUGCCAGCAGCCGCGGUAA
rnacentral:rRNA from 1 species